AGAAGUUUAUGAUGAACAUGGAAUACGAAUAGAAAUCCUUUACAAAUCAGGGAUGAUGAUAGAAACCUAUGACAAAGAUGGAAAUAGAAUAGACAUUUUCGAUGCAAGUGGAAACCUUAUACACGCUUUUAAGGAAGAAGAGGAAGCCGGUGGUGAAGAGGAUGAGACACUAAUAGCUUAUGAUGAACAUGGAGAGAGAAUAGAAGUUUAUGAUGAGCAUGGAAUAAG